rnacentral:rRNA from 1 species
CCUACGGGAGGCAGCAGUGGGGAAUAUUGCACAAUGGGCGCAAGCCUGAUGCAGCCAUGCCGCGUGUGUGAAGAAGGCCUUCGGGUUGUAAAGCACUUUCAGUUGUGAGGAAGGUGGUGUAGUUAAUAGCUGCAUUAUUUGACGUUAGCGACAGAAGAAGCACCGGCUAACUCCGUGCCAGCAGCCGCGGUAAU